rnacentral:lncRNA from 1 species
CGAGUGCAGGAAAUAAACAACGUAAAUGUGCGAGUGCAGGAAAUAAACAACGUAAAUGUGCGAGUGCAGGAAAUAAACAACGUAAAUGUGCGAGUGCAGGAAAUAAAUAAAAGUAAAAUACGAACUUGAAUUAAAAUGGCGGCAGGAUUAACUUCCUCCAGAGUGCUCCAAAAACUCGAACCACAGACAGAUUACAGACUCGAUCACUCGAUUGCAGAGGCACCCCGAUGUGGAAUGGCAACUGCUUUAUAACUGAUAUAUGCCUAGAGAAUUCUAAUUCUGGAUGAAGAAAAAC